UAUUGCGCAAUGGGGGAAACCCUGACGCAGCGACGCCGCGUGAGCGAAGAAGGCCUUAGGGUUGUAAAGCUCUGUUUUAGGGGACGAAUGUCGUGGGGAGUAAUAUGACCUACGAAUGACGGUACCCUACGAGGAAGCCCCGGCUAACUACGUGCCAGCAGCCGCGGUAAGACGUAGGGGGCGAGCGUUGUCCGGAAUUACUGGGCGUAAAGAGCACGUAGGCGGGAACCUAAGUCAGGUGUGAAAGACCGUGGCUCAACCACGGGGUGGCAUUUGAAACUGGGUUUCUUGAGGGCAGGAGAGGAAAGCAGAAUUCCUGGUGUAGCGGUGAAAUGCGUAGAAAUCAGGAGGAAUACCAGUGGCGAAGGCGGCUUUCUGGACUGACCCUGACGCUGAGGUGCGAAAGCGUGGGUAGCAAACAGG
rnacentral:rRNA from 1 species